GAAGUAUAGAAUAAUAUUUUUUUUCCUUUCCACUAUUGAAGCGUUGAAAUAUCAAAGAGGUCAAAUGCCAAUUUUGAUAAUUUUCAGUUGUAAUCAUAGAAAGUAGCCAAAAAUCAUUGGGCACAACCAAAGAAAAGAGCGAUCUGACAACGGUGUAUUUAGUACUUUUACUUUGGGUAUUGGGUGCAAAGUGCCACGACGUGACUAGAUGUAUUGCAAACAAGCAGCAACAAGUAAUUUAAUUAAAAACAUUGGCUGUGUUUUUGCUAUUAUUUUAUUACGUUAGUGAAAAUAACCUGAAAUAUGGAAAAUAGAUGACGAAAAAAAGGUACGGGGUCAGUGGCAGAGGCUCACAUAAAGCUAAAAUUAUCUGGAAAACCAUAUCAAACCCGCAAAAAUACGAAAAUUCCAGCAAAAUCUCAACCAAGUUUAGAGAUCCUGUUUAAGUGCAAAACUGUAUUAUUUGAUUGAAGACUUGAGCUAUUUACAAGUUUCACUCAACGCCGCACAAUAUUCAAGGAACCUUUUUGAUAGGACUUAUCCAAGUGGAACCAGUGAAUAAACGUAGACAUGGGACAUACAAUGCUGCUCGUGAUAGUUAUAGACAGGCUACCAUGCACUAUACUGUUCCCAAUGGUACUGAAAAUCUCGUGGAAGUUUGUAAGAACAACUUCAUGAACAUUUUUGGAGUAUCAAGAAAAAGACUUUUUACUAUUAUUAAUAAAAAGAAACAACCUUUGUCGACAAAAUAACUCGUACUUGUGGUAGUAAGUUCACUGAUGAUAUUUUAUUUAUAAGGCAACAUGUAAACUAUAUUCCGCGGGAUGAGUCUCACUAUUCUCGGGCCAAAUCUGCUGGAGAAUUUUCAAGCCAGGAUUUAAAUAUUUUUCGUUUACAUAAAGCAUAUAAAGAUCGGCACCCAGAAAGUCUUGUAACGUAUCGGUUUUGCGGUGCAUGUUUUUAAAAUAUUUUCCAAAUCUUUCAUUUAAGCCGCCACGUACAGAUACGUGCAAAACUUGUGACCAAUUAAAGUGUGAAAUUCAGGAUAAAAAUGUAGGUAGUGAUGAAGCAAAAUAACAGCAGCAGCUGCGCCACAGAAAAGUUGACACUUCCACUUCUGCUAUGAAAGUAAACAUUUUACAGUCUCAAGAACCUGAGAGUACGCUUAGUACUAUUUCCAUAGAUAUGGAGCAAGUUUUGUUUGUUUCUACGCUAACACACUCUGAAAUGUUUUAUUUAAGCCAGUUAUCAUGUUACAACUUCUGUGUAAAUUUUGCUGAUACUAAAAAAUCUUAUAUAUGCCUUUGGCAUGAGGAAUUUGCCGGAAGGGGUGGUAAUGAGAUAUCCUUAUGUUUAUUAAGGGUGUUAAAUAUGGGCAUUGCGAAUAAAAACCAUUCAAUAAUUUGGAGUGAUAACUGUGCUCCUCAGAACAAAAACCGUAUAAGCUGUGGACUAUUUGAAACAAUAGAGCACAAGUUUUUAUUUAGUGGUCACAGUUUUCUACAAUGUGACCGCGACUUAACUUUAAUAGAAAAGCGCAAAAGGUAAGUCAAGGCAAUGGUACCUGAUGACCUGAUCGACGUUAUAAUGAGGUAGAUUUGAGGUACUUGAAAUGUGUAACCGAUUCUUUAAUAUUCAGUCUGCUGCAGACACCAUCAUUAACAUGAAAAACAUAAACAUCAGUAAGGUUGUCCAUCCCAAGAUAGAUCAAAAUCACCCUGGUGUCCUUAUUACCAAACAAACUUCUUGUGGACACAGACUGUAAUAUUCAAAAAAGUCAAACAACCUACUGAUUUUAUUCACGUUGUUUUAUGUAAACUCCCAGAUGACAAUAAAGUAUCAGAUAAUAAAACAACCAUUUGUUAUCAAUGAUUAGUUAGAAAAAGGGGAACACAAAGCUUUUUGUCAAAAUCUGCUUAAUGUAGUAUAAGGCACUUGACCCCUCUCUCAUUUCGUUUUUUUGUAAUUUGUCAUUUUCGAUUGAGGUUAUUAUUAUUAGUUAUAGUUGUAAAAACCUAUGUAGCAGAUAUCCAUAAGUUAUAAUAAUGUAUGUUCUUUUAUGUUUUUAUAUGUGAAAAUACGAAUAAACAUUUUCCGUCAAUAAA